rnacentral:lncRNA from 1 species
GCUACCAUCCUCAGUGUUUUAUAUGCCUGAUAAAAAACUGAAAAUACUAAUUAUGAUUAUAAAAGCUAUCUACUCUGUAUUGAGUUUGUUCAAAAUGAGUUAGACCCUUAUUGAGAGAUUUAUCAUGCUCCUAAGAUCAAGACAUUUAUUUAGAAAGAUUCACUCUUCCGAAGUACUAUUGCAUUAGAGGCAUGGGCUAUGCAAAAAUAAAGAUAUUUUCGAGGAAAUAAAAAGGAGCAAGUGCUCGACAACCUCGCAGGAAAAAUGGACAAGUGUCCGGCAGUAGAAUUAGGGGUACCUCGGUAUCCAUUAAAAAAAAGGAGAAAAAAAUGAUAGCCCAUGGUCCCUCUAAUAAGCAAUAUGCCAGCAAGAGUUGACAAAGACUUUAAUUUCCAAAGUCUUUGAUCUAAGAGUAUGACAUUCCCC